AAUCAAGCGCUUAAGAGCAUAUUGUGGAUGCCUUGGCUCUAGGAGGCGAUGAAGGACGUGAUACACUGCGAAAAGCCACGGGGAGUUGUGAAUAAACUUUGAUCCGUGGAUGUCCGAAUGGGGAAACCCACCGUUUUUACGGUAUUGCUAACUGAAUACAUAGGUUAGUAAAGCAAACCCGGUGAACUGAAACAUCUUAGUAACCGGAGGAAAGGAAAUCAACCGAGACUCCGCUAGUAGCGGCGAGCGAACGCGGACCAGGCCUGUGAUUUAUGUAAUAAUAACUAAAACGAGUUGGGAAGCUCGGCCAUAGAAGGUGAUAGCCCUGUAUAGGUAAUGUAUUAUGUAGAUCCUCGAGUAGGGCGGAACACGUGAAAUUCUGUCUGAAGAUGGGGGGACCACCCUCCAAGCCUAAGUACUCCCUAGAGACCGAUAGUGAACAAGUACCGUGAGGGAAAGGUGAAAAGAACCCCGAUGAGGGGAGUGAAAUAGAAUCUGAAACAAUAUGCUUACAAUCUGUGGGAGCAGACAAGAUCUGUGACCGCGUACCUUUUGUAUAAUGGGUCAGCGAGUUAGUCUGUGCAGCAAGCUUAAGCCGAUAGGUGUAGGCGUAGCGAAAGCGAGUCUUAAUAGGGCGACAAGUUGCACGGAUUAGACCCGAAACCUAGUGAUCUAGCCAUGGGCAGGUUGAAGGUGCAGUAACAUGUACUGGAGGACCGAACCCACUGAUGUUGCAAUAUCAGGGGAUGACCUGUGGUUAGGGGUGAAAGGCCAAUCAAACUAGGUUAUAGCUGGUUCUCCGCGAAAACUAUUUAGGUAGUGCGUCGUGUCUAUCCAUCGGGGGUAGAGCACUGGAUGGGCUAGGGGGGCUCGCGCCUUACCAAACCCAACCAAACUCCGAAUACCGAUGAGAUCAAUCACGGCAGACAGUCUCUGGGUGCUAAGGUCCAGGGACGAGAGGGAAACAGCCCUGAUCGCCAGCUAAGGUCCCUAAGUUGUGGUUAAGUGUGAAAGGAUGUGGGAAGGCCAAGACAGCCAGGAGGUUGGCUUAGAAGCAGCCAUCCUUUAAAGAAAGCGUAAUAGCUCACUGGUCUAGUUAAGCUAGCCUGCGCCUAAAAUGUAACGGGGCUUAAACCACACACCGAAGCUGCGGGCUCGAAAGAGCGGUAGCGGAGCGUUCUGUAGGCCGAAGAAGGUGGAUACGUGAGUAACACUGGAGGUAUCAGAAGUGAGAAUGCUGACAUAAGUAGCGUAAAUGAAUGUGAGAGACAUUCACGCCGAAAGUCCAAGGGUUCCUGUGCAAGGUUAAUCCGCGCAGGGUUAGUCGGCCCCUAAGGCGAGGCCGAAAGGCGUAGUCGAUGGGAAUCAGGUUAAUAUUCCUGAACCUGUUAGAAGUGACGGAGGCCGGAAGCUGUGCAUGCUUAUUGGAUUGUGUGUGCAGUCUAGGACUCCCAGGAAAUAGCUCUAACAUUAAAGACCGUACCCUAAACCGACACUGGUGGACUGGUAGAGUAUACCAAGGCGCUUGAGAGAAUGAUGUUGAAGGAACUCGGCAAAUUGCUCCUGUAACUUCGGAAGAAGGGAGACCCAUAUGAGGGCAACCUUUUAUGGGUGACACAAACCAGGGGGUAACGACUGUUUAUCAAAAACACAGGACUAUGCAAAAUCGUAAGAUGACGUAUAUGGUCUGACGCCUGCCCGGUGCUGGAAGGUUAAGAGGAGGGGUGCAAGCUCUGAAUUGAAGCCCCAGUAAACGGCGGCCGUAACUAUAACGGUCCUAAGGUAGCGAAAUUCCUUGUCGGGUAAGUUCCGACCCGCACGAAUGGCGUAACGAUUUCCCCGCUGUCUCCAACAUCAACUCAGCGAAAUUGAAUUCUCCGUGAAGAUGCGGAGUUCCUGCGGCUAGACGAGAAGACCCCGUGAACCUUUACUAUAACUUUGCAGUGAAGUUAGGGGUGACAUGUGUAGGAUAGGUGGGAGACUUUGAAGCAUUGGCGCCAGCCGGUGUGGAGUCAUCCUUGAAAUACCACCCUUGUCACCUUUGAUUUCUAACCGAGCCCUGUGAAACCAGGGCCGGGACCCUGCAUGGUGGGUAGUUUGACUGGGGCGGUCGCCUCCUAAAGAGUAACGGAGGCGCGCGAUGGUAGGCUCAAGCUGGUCGGAAAUCAGCUGUUGAGUGCAAUGGCAAAAGCCUGCCUGACUGCGAGAGUGACACCUCGAGCAGAGACGAAAGUCGGUCAUAGUGAUCCGGUGGUUCCAAGUGGACGGGCCAUCGCUCAACGGAUAAAAGGUACUCCGGGGAUAACAGGCUGAUCUCCCCCAAGAGUUCAUAUCGACGGGGAGGUUUGGCACCUCGAUGUCGACUCAUCACAUCCUGGGGCUGAAGCAGGUCCCAAGGGUUCGGCUGUUCGCCGAUUAAAGUGGUACGUGAGUUGGGUUCAGAACGUCGUGAGACAGUUCGGUUUCUAUCUACCGUAGGUGUUGGAAUAUUGAGAGGACCUGUCCCUAGUACGAGAGGACCGGGAUGGACAUACCUCUGGUGUACCAGUUGUGUUGCCAAAUGCAGCGCUGGGUAGCUAAGUAUGGAAUAGAUAACUGCUGACAGCAUCUAAGCGGGAAGCUAGCCUCAAAACAAGUAUUCCCUGAGAAUCGUGGAAGACCACCACGUUGAUAGGUCAGGUGUGGAAGCACGGUAACGUGUGUAGCUAACUGAUACUAAUAAUUCAAUCGGCUUGAUUCG
rnacentral:rRNA from 1 species